CCCUACGGGGUGCAGCAGGCGAGGAAAUUUUACAAUGCACGAAAGUGUGAUAGAAUAAACCAGAGUGCUUCUCUUAGAGAAGCUUUUGUUUGAUGUAAAAAGUCAGACGAAUAAGGACUGGGCAAGACCGGUGCCAGCCGCCGCGGUAAUACCGGCGGUCCGAGUCGCAUCCACAUUUAUUGGGUCUAAAACAUCCGUAGCUUGUUUUGUAAGUUUCUUGUGAAAUCUCAUAUCUCAAGUAUGAGGCGUGCAAGAAAUACUGCAUUACUAGAGACCGGGAGACGUAAAGAGUAUGAUUAAGGUAGCGGUAAAAUGUGUUAAUCUUAAUCAGACUAACAAUGGCGAAGGCACUUUACGAGUACGGUUCUGACAGUGAGGGAUGAAGGCUAGGGGCGCGAAAGGGAUUAGAUACCCCUGUAGUCCUAGCAGUAAACGCUGCUCACUAAACAUUAGUACCUCCUCGAGAGGUAUUAGUGCUGUAGAGAAGUCGAAGAGUGAGCUA
rnacentral:rRNA from 1 species